rnacentral:miRNA from 1 species
UGAGGCAGGAGAAUUGCUUGAACCCAGGAAGUGGAGGUUGCAGUGAGCCUAGAUCAUGCCACUGCACUCCAGCCUGGGUGACACAGCAAGACUC